CGACGCAGCCAUGCCGCGUGAAUGAUGAAGGUCUUAGGAUUGUAAAAUUCUUUCACCGGGGACGAUAAUGACGGUACCCGGAGAAGAAGCCCCGGCUAACUUCGUGCCAGCAGCCGCGGUAAUACGAAGGGGGCUAGCGUUGCUCGGAAUUACUGGGCGUAAAGGGCGCGUAGGCGGAUCGUUAAGUCAGAGGUGAAAUCCCGGAGCUCAACUUCGGAACUGCCUUUGAUACUGGCGAUCUUGAGUGUGAGAGAGGUAUGUGGAACUCCGAGUGUAGAGGUGAAAUUCGUAGAUAUUCGGAAGAACACCAGUGGCGAAGGCGACAUACUGGCUCAUUACUGACGCUGAGGCGCGAAAGCGUGGGGAGCAAACAGGAUUAGAUACCCUGGUAGUCCACGCCGUAAACGAUGAUUGCUAGUUGUCGGGCUGCAUGCAGUUCGGUGACGCAGCUAACGCAUUAAGCAAUCCGCCUGGGGAGUACGGUCGCAAGAUUA
rnacentral:rRNA from 1 species